GAACUGGCUUCUGCUUGCUAAAGCAGGUGGACCUCAACUUCCUUUGGCAAGGAAUUUCAGCAAUGGGAUUGAGCUACACCCCCUGAAACCCAUCCUUUGUCUCCUUUGAGUUGAACUUUCACGAAUGUCUUCCCCUCAAUAAACAGAAUGGUCUCAGGCGUGCUCUCUCUUUUUUGCCUGCCUCUCUUGCCUCCCUUGUGGGAGCUGGGGCAGAGAAGCCAUCACUGAACUUCAAGAAAAAGAUACUUUCUGUGUCUGUGUGAUUAUUUAGUGCCAGCCCAGUUCACCUGGAGCAACCCUGACUGAUUUAGUCGAAUGUCCUUACAUCCUUUAAAUAACAAUCCUAGUUCAGCAUUUCAAGGUUUGCUAAAGCAAAUAUUUGGGUUAAUGGCCAUCCAAAAUCCUGAGGAACAACAUCUCAAGGCCACUCACUGAGAAUAUUCACAAAACAAGAUGUAUUUCAUAAUGCAACAUCCCACUGGCUCCCAGAAGCAUCUAAUCCUUUUUUUUUUUUUUAAUGCAGUGCUGGGGAUCAAACUCAUCUAAUUCACUUUAAGACAAUUUUCACCAAAGUAAAUAAGCUCUUUAAUCAAGUAUUGCUUGUUUUAUAAGAAGUGAAGAACUUCCUACCAUUCAACCUAAAUUCCAGUGCUCUGAGGUAUAAAUCAUGAGUAAGUGGAACAUAACUAUACCUAGAAAAGGCACUGUCCAGGGGGCAGUGUCCUGAAAAGGCACAACAAUGAUCUCCAAGGGACUGCUGUUACCCAAAACAGCCACAGCCAGCAUCAUCUCCAAACUACGCCAUACCCUGUGACAACCAGUGUGGCAUUCAUCUGUCCACAGUCUCUCAAAGCAGCUUCUUAAUGAAUUAUCUGAAUUAAAAAUGCAUAACAUUGGGGGGCUGGGGAUGUGGCUCAAGCGGUGACGUGCUCGCCUGGCAUGCGUGCGGCCCGGGUUCGAUCCUCAGCACCACAUACAAACAAAGAUGUUGUGUCCGCCGAAAACUAAAAAAUAAAUAUUAAAAUCCUCUCUCUCUCUCUCUCUCUCUCUCUCUCUCUCUCUUAAAAAAAAUUCUUUAAAAAAAAUGCAUAACAUUAGCACACAAUAUUUGUUGACAUG
rnacentral:lncRNA from 1 species